rnacentral:rRNA from 1 species
AGUGAACGCUGGCAGCGUGCUUAACACAUGCAAGUCGAACGAGAACGGGUUAUAGCUUGCUAUAAUUGUCAGCUAAGUGGCGCACGGGUGAGUAAUGUAUAGGUAAUAUGCCUCUUACUAAGGGAUAACAAAUGGAAACGUUUGCUAAUACCUUAUACUCCUUAUUAACAGAAGUUAAUAAGGGAAAGAUUUAUUGGUAAGAGAUUAGCCUGUAUUGUAUCAGUUAGUUGGUGGGGUAAUGGCUUACCAAGACUAUGACACAUAACUGGUUUGAGAGGAUGAUCAGUCACACUGGAACUGAGACACGGUCCAGACUCCUACGGGAGGCAGCAGUGGGGAAUCUUGGACAAUGGGCGCAAGCCUGAUCCAGCCAUGCCGCGUGGAUGAUGAAGGCCUUAGGGUUGUAAAAUCCUUUCAACGGGGGACGAUAAUGACGGUACCCGUAGAAGAAGCCCCGGCUAACUUCGUG